UUAUUGUGCUUCAAAAUGGGCAAUAGAGGGUUUGACGGGGUCAGUUGCGAAGGAGUUGCCCCCUGGAAUGGCAGCUGUUGGACCUAAUCCUGGUGUCAUCUACACGGACAUGCUUCAGUCGUGCUUUGGCAAUUCAGCAUCCCUCUACCAGACACCUGAGUCAUGGGCUCCCAAGGCAGCUAAUAUGAUACUAAAUCUGACCAUGGCCGAUAACGGGGCGUCUUUCUGUGCAAGUUAUGGUUGAGUGACAUACUAGCUUUAGUAGGUAGCAGAGUGAUGGAAACCUCCAGCAUUUGACUCCAUCGAGUAUGAUAUCAUUAUCCCCCCAGAGCUGUCUUAUGUUUUUAUGAGUUUAGGAGAUUUAAAAGAUUUGUAAUGUUUUGAGCAACUAAGAGGGGGUCAAAGGCAGUUUAGGCUUAUGUAAAUUUUUGUCUAUUUGUUUGAUCAAGUAGGUCAUUUUUUCCGAGCAAUGUUCUUGUUUUCAUUGCUAUUUGCUAAUGUAUCAGCUGGUCAUCCUCCUAAUCAUCCAUAACACAACCAAAUUUGCCUGAUAGCUAGUACUUGGUUCGUGUAGUUAUUGUCACUCUGCUAUUAUAUAAUUCUGAGGUGCAUUCUUUCAUUCAGUAA